rnacentral:rRNA from 1 species
GACGUAGGGUGCAAGCGUUGUCCGGAAUUAUUGGGCGUAAAGAGUUCGUAGGCGGUUAUUUAAGUCUGGUGUUAAAGACGGGAGCUCAACUCCCGCAUGGCAUUGGAAACUGGAUAGCUAGAGUACGGUAGAGGUCUCGGGAAUUCCAGGUGUAGCGGUGAAAUGCGUAGAUAUCUGGAGGAACACCGGUGGCGAAAGCGCGAGACUGGGCCGUAACUGACGCUGAGGCGCGACAGCGUGGGGAGCAAACAGG